AUGGGCUAUCAGGCGCGGUGGAUCCCAACUCUUGCGGGUGAAGGGCUCCAACUUUAUGUCUGGGUUUUUAGCUUGUUUACUGUUUGUGUCUUGUUCAGGAAGACGAGUGAGUGGCGGCUCCCUGAGGAUGCAAUAAAGUUUUCCCAACCUAGGCCCAGUUUUGGCGGUGCGUCUUCAUCGUUGAAGGGCAUGUGGAGAUUGAGAUGGUCGUCUCUGAGACGCACAGUUCAUAUAUAUAGGCUCCGAGGAAUGGAAGAGUGCAGCCACACUUUCUUCCAAGAGUUGAUCAAUAAGAAGCCCCCACCAGGUUCAAAGUGGUUGGUCACCGGUGAUUUUAAUCAAAUCUACCAUGCGCAAGACAAGAAUAAAACAAAUAUCGACCGAAGCUGUAUCGUCCGCUUUAGAAAUACGCUUAAUCUCUGCGAGCUCACACACAUCCUUCACGCCCUCUCAUCAUCCUUAUCGGACCACUGCCCUCUCCUCCUUUCAAAUGGCAAAGGCCCGCAGAGGUCAAAACCCUUCCGCUUCGAAAACUUUUGGAUCAAAAUGCCCGGCUUUAAAGAGGUAGUCCAGGGAGCUUGGAACACCAAUUCUGGUCACGCUGACCCAUACCUCAACCUCUUUCACAAGCUAAAAGAGGCUGGCAAAAAAUUAAGGAAAUGGAGUAGGACAAUGUUCGCGCACUUGAAGGUGCAGAUUCAUAUGGCCCUGGAAGUUAUUCUCCGCUUGGAUGUGGCUCAAGAUCUUCGUCCCCUAAGUGCCCGCGAGCGAGAUCUUCGAAAGAGACUUAAGCAGAAAGUGGGGGACCCAUUGUCCCCUCUUCUCUUUGUCCUAGCUAUCGAUCCGCUCCGCCACCUCCUCUGCAAGGCCACAGUCCAAGGGCACCUACACCCUCUCUGUGGUAGAUCUUCACCCAUCCGGGCCUCGCUCUACGCCGAUGAUGCCGCCAUCUUUGUGAAGCCCAUUAAGGAAGACGUCCAAUUCCUUGCUGCUACUCUGGCCUCUUUCGGAGCCGUGUCUGGCCUUGUCACUAAUUGUGCCAAAAGUUUGGUUGCUCCCAUCCGAUGUGACAACAUCAACCUUGACGAUGUUCUUCAUGCUUUUCCGACAGUGCGCACCUCAUUCCCGAUGCGCUACCUUGGACUUCCCUUAUCCGUCAAGCGCCUCAAGCGAAUCCACUUUCAGUAUCUUGAGAAUAAAAUUGGAGGCAAGCUCCCUCCCUGGCAGGGAAGACAUGUGGCCUCUGCUGGCCGUGUGGUCCUUGUAAAGGUUGUCCUUACCGCUAUUGCUAUUUAUCAUCUCAUGCCUCUCGACAUCCUGGUGGAGUUCCUCAAGAAAAUCGGUAGUAUUUGCCGUGCAUAUCUUUGGGCGGGCUCGGAUAAGAAGAACUCCUCGUUCCAGCAAGCCAUGACCAACAAUCUUUGGAUCACUUAUAUUGAUGGCACCAACGGUCUGUCCCUCGCACAUAUCAAGCAGUUUGCUGACCUUUGGGAAAGAUUAUCAUCGGUGGCCCUAGUGGAAGAGGUGGAAGAUUCGAUUAUUUGGAAGUUCACUAAGGAUGGGAUAUAUUCUGCUUCCUCGGCAUACAAGGCUAAAUUUGAAGACCGCUUGAUCCGUUGUGGCUGGCCCAACUACGGAUUGUGCCCUCUUUGUAAGCAUGCACAUGAGUCCGCUGCUCACCUACUCUUCCAAUGCCGCUUCACAUUGCGCAUUUGGAACGACAUCCUACCGUGGCUUGGAAUGCACCACAUCUCUACUACUUCAUGGUCGGCGAGCGCUUCGGUCAAAGAAUGGUGGAACGGUAACCUUCAGAUUCAUCUCAGCUCCCCCAAAGCCCUUGCCUCAUUGAUGAUGCUCAUCUCAUGGGAGAUUUGGUCCAAGAGAAACGCUAGAGUCUUCCGCAGCGUGGCGGUCCCUUCGGUGGUCAUCAUUAACAAGAUCAAGCAUGAGGUGUCGCUCUGGGUUUUGGCGGGUGCCAAGCACUUGGGUAUUGUAAUGCCGCGAGAAUUAGUCACGUACCCAACCUGGGCCAUCACCUCCAGACCGGGAGAUUUGUUCCUAUUAUUCCCCACCACUCCCUCACAAUCUCCUCCGUUCCCCAUUCUCUCCACCAUAGCCAGCGCUCCCUGGUCAGGCCGCCCCCUCCCCUUCGUCACCAUCGCCGGCGCUCCCUGGUCAGGCUGCCCUCCCCUUCGUCACCAGCGCGGCCGCUCUCUCACACCCCGUAGGUCAAAGGUUGAAUUUUUAUCCGCCGCUGAUGGUGCUGCUGGGCGAGGAGGCGCUGGAUGCGCGUGCGCCGGCGCUGGAUCUGCUCCGUCUGGCUCCGGCGACCUUACCCCGUGGCUCCGGGACAGGAAGGCUACCCCGACGACAUACAGGUCCGCCCCCUUCUCCUUUCCUUUUGGAUUUCUUCUUCUUCCCUUCCCUGAGAUGAGAUGUACGUUCCUGCCUCACGCACACAGCAACUGGACUCUAUGCACAGCGAGGAGGAUGAAGACACCCAGCCAUGGAUUUUUAGCAGCACUCACUCAAGGAAAAAGAGACCUCAACACGCCAAUGGAUGCAGCCAGCCUCCAACUCACCACGCACCUGCACCAACUUGAUGUAGGGAGAGGAGGAGUGAGGCUUCUCUCACGGGAUGACGCCCAGCCAUGGGGCAGCAACAAUCCAAGUGACUAA
rnacentral:rRNA from 1 species